UACGUAGGGUGCGAGCGUUAAUCGGAAUUACUGGGCGUAAAGCGUGCGCAGGCGGCUUCGCAAGACAGAUGUGAAAUCCCCGGGCUUAACCUGGGAACUGCAUUUGUGACUGCAUGGCUGGAGUGCGGCAGAGGGGGAUGGAAUUCCGCGUGUAGCAGUGAAAUGCGUAGAUAUGCGGAGGAACACCGAUGGCGAAGGCAAUCCCCUGGGCCUGCACUGACGCUCAUGCACGAAAGCGUGGGGAGCAAACAGG
rnacentral:rRNA from 1 species